rnacentral:rRNA from 1 species
AACGCGAAGAACCUUACCAAGGCUUGACAUAUACGAGAACGCUGCAGAAAUGUAGAACUCUUUGGACACUCGUAAACAGGUGGUGCAUGGUUGUCGUCAGCUCGUGUCGUGAGAUGUUGGGUUAAGUCCCGCAACGAGCGCAACCCUCGUUCUAUGUUGCCAGCACGUAAUGGUGGGAACUCAUGGAAUACUGCCGGGGUCAACUCGGAGGAAGGUGGGGAUGACGUCAAAUCAUCAUGCCCCUUAUGUCUUGGGCUUCACGCAUGCUACAAUGGCCGGUACAAAGGGCUGCAAUACCGUAAGGUGGAGCGAAUCCCAAAAAGCCGGUCCCAGUUCGGAUUGAGGUCUGCAACUCGACCUCAUGGAGUCGGAGUCGCUAGUAAUCGCAGAUCAGCAACGCUGCGGUGAAUACGUUCCCGGGUCUUGUACACACGC